UGGAUUUGUGCCUUCGGGAACUGUGAGACAGGUGCUGCAUGGCUGUCGUCAGCUCGUGUUGUGAAAUGUUGGGUUAAGUCCCGCAACGAGCGCAACCCUUAUCCUUUGUUGCCAGCGGUCCGGCCGGGAACUCAAAGGAGACUGCCAGUGAUAAACUGGAGGAAGGUGGGGAUGACGUCAAGUCAUCAUGGCCCUUACGACCAGGGCUACACACGUGCUACAAUGGCGCAUACAAAGAGAAGCGACCUCGCGAGAGCAAGCGGACCUCAUAAAGUGCGUCGUAGUCCGGAUUGGAGUCUGCAACUCGACUCCAUGAAGUCGGAAUCGCUAGUAAUCGUGGAUCAGAAUGCCACGGUGAAUACGUUCCCGGGCCUUGUACACACCGCCCGUCACACCAUGGGAGUGGGUUGCAAAAGAAGUAGGUAGCUUAACCUUCGGGAGGGCGCUUACCACUUUGUGAUUCAUGACUGGGGUGAAGUCGUAACAAGGUAACCGUAGGGGAACCUGCGGUUGGAUCACCUCCUUA
rnacentral:rRNA from 1 species